rnacentral:lncRNA from 1 species
CGGCAGGGGCGGGGCCGGGCGGCGCGGUCACGCCCCUCCACCGCCUCCGCCAAUGGCGUGCCUCCCGCCCGCUGAUCGACAGGCCCGGCGGAGAGCCGGAAGGAGGGCGAGCGCCGAGCUCCUGGCGGCGAGGGACGCCUCGGAGGGGGCUGCCGGGGGAGCUACGCUCCUGGGGCUAUGGCCUUGAGCAGGAGGGAAGUAUUCAUAGGGAAAGUACUGAAACGACUCUUCGCUGAAACUUCAUCAUCUUCUGUUGUGCAUAUGAGUGGAGAAGAGGAGAUGGUUCUUGGAAACCUAGGCUCAAAAUCCAAAGAGAAGGAUUUGGAGAAUGUUCAGACUUUGUCAGCAGAUGCCAGUACAUCAGGUGAUACACACUGCAAAUCACUUCAAGAUAUACCCACAGAUUGGAGGCAGUGGGUGAUUCAGCACUUCUUCCUAUCCUCAUGUUACAACAGAAGCCCAGGUGCAUAUGUACAUAAGAGAAGGCAAGUAUAAUCAAUUCAGGCAGUAUGUUAGUACUAAAAAGCAUUAUUUUCAGCUUAUGUGGAUGGAAUUAAAGUAGCCUGUAAAUAUUUUGACAAGUAAGUAAAAGUCCUGCUUCAAAUGGGCUAUAAAAUGUGGAUGCUGUACCAAAAGAUGGCGUUUUAAAAUGGGUAACUGAUGAUAUUUCGUGAGUGAUAGGCUCAGCACUUAUGUGUAGAAUGAGCAUGAAUUGCUUCAUGUUGUAGUUCACCUAAAAUCAAGUUUUGCCUUUAACUGAAAAAGGUCA